AUGUAUGGACAGUUUUCUGGGGAAAGGACCCACAGCAAGAAAAGAACCCUCGUUGGAGAGAAGGUGGAAGGCCGGAACAGCGCCAUCUCUGCCGGCGUGUGCGGGGCCCUUUUCAUUGGGUACUGCAUUUACUUCGACCGCAGGAGACGGAGUGACUCCAACUUCAAGAACAGGCUGCGAGAACGAAGUAAGAAACAAGCUUGCCAAGAAGAGAGCUGGACUUUCCAAGUUACCUGACCUUAAAGAUGCUGAAGCCGUUCCGAAAUUCUUCCUUGAAGAAAUACAGCUUGGUGAAGAGUUACUAGCUCAAGGUGAAUAUGAGAAGGGUGUGGACCAUUUGACAAAUGCAAUUGCUGUGUGUGGACAGCCAUAGCAGUUACUGCAAGUGUGGCAGCAAACUCUUCCACCACCAGUGUUCCAGAGGCUUCUAACUAAGCUCCCAACAAUUAGUCAGAGAACUGUAAGUGCUCAGAGCUUGGCUGAAGAUGAUGUGGAAUGAGAAACAAAUGUCAACAUAAUAAUCUCAAUUUUAAAAUAUUUUUAAAAUCUUAACUUGGAAGAUGAUGAGCUCUGGGGGAGUAAGGGCAAAUAAGCUUGUUAUGGACUGUCUUACACUGAAAUUUACCAAAGUUAAUUUUUACUUUGUGUAGAUCCAUUUGUCUGUUUUAUUUAUUUAUCCCAGUGAAAAGUGUAUUUUGAUAGAGGUUUUCAUUUUAUAAAUAUACUAUCAGUUACUGAAA